AGUGAACGCUGGCGGCGUGCCUAAUACAUGCAAGUCGAACGAAUGUCGCACGGGUGAGUAAUUAUAGCUAACUGCCCUACACUGGAGGACAACAUUUGCAAACGACUGCUAAUACUCUAUAGUGUAUGCUAGUCUAUAUUGUAUCAGCUAGUUUGUGAGGUAAUAGCUCACCAAGGCUAGGACGAAUACCUGGUCUGAGAGGAUGAUCAGUAACACUGGAACUGAGAUAAGGUCCAGACUCCUACGGGAGGCAGCAGUAGGGAAUAUUGCUCAAUGGGGGAAACCCUGAUGCAGCAACGGCGCGUGAAUGAAGAAGGCCUUCGGGUUGUAAAGUUAUUUCGGUGAAGAGGCGUUAUCACAGAAGAAGCACCGGCUAACUCCGUGCCAGCAGCCGCGGUAAUUC
rnacentral:rRNA from 1 species